AGCCGGGCCUUGUGCAACGGAGAAUCACGAACCCCGCCAGGUCCGGGAGGAAGCAACGGUACGUGGGGCUCUUUGGGUGCCGUGAGGGUGCCUGAUUUGA
rnacentral:SRP_RNA from 1 species